CCACGGGGGGCAGCAGUGAGGAAUAUUGGACAAUGGAUGGAAAUCUGAUCCAGCCAUGCCGCGUGCAGGAAGACGGCCUUAUGGGUUGUAAACUGCUUUUAUACGGGAGCAAUAAGGGUUACGAGUAAUCCGAUGAGAGUACUGUAUGAAUAAGGAUCGGCUAACUCCGUGCCAGCAGCCGCGGUAAUACGGAGGAUCCGAGCGUUAUCCGGAAUUAUUGGGUUUAAAGGGUGCGUAGGCGGCCAUUUAAGUCAGCGGUGAAAUUUUGCAGCUUAACUGUAACAGUGCCGUUGAUACUGUUUGGCUAGGAUUUGGUUGUAGUGUGCGGAAUGUGUGGUGUAGCGGUGAAAUGCUUAGAUAUCACACAGAACACCGAUUGCGAAGGCAGCACACUAAGUCAUUAUUGACGCUGAGGCACGAAAGUGUGGGGAUCAAACAGGAUUAGAUACCCUGGUAGUCCACACUGUAAACGAUGAUAACUCGCUGUCGGCGAUACACAGUCGGUGGCCAAGCGAAAGCAUUAAGUUAUCCACCUGGGGAGUACGACCGCAAGGUUGAAACUCAAAGGAAUUGACGGGGGCCCGCACAAGCGGAGGAACAUGUGGUUUAAUUCGAUGAUACGCGAGGAACCUUACCCGGGCUCGAACGGUGCAUGAAUAUACGAGAGAUUGUAUAGUCCUUCGGGACAUGUAUCGAGGUGCUGCAUGGUUGUCGUCAGCUCGUGCCGUGAGGUGUC
rnacentral:rRNA from 1 species